rnacentral:rRNA from 1 species
AAUAGAUACCCCGGGUAGUCCACGCCGUAAACGAUGAGUGCUAAGUGUUAGAGGGUUUCCGCCCUUUAGUGCUGCAGCUAACGCAUUAAGCACUCCGCCUGGGGAGUACGGUCGCAAGACUGAAACUCAAAGGAAUUGACGGGGGCCCGCACAAGCGGUGGAGCAUGUGGUUUAAUUCGAAGCAACGCGAAGAACCUUACCAGGUCUUGACAUCCUCUGACAACUCUAGAGAUAGAGCGUUCCCCUUCGGGGGACAGAGUGACAGGUGGUGCAUGGUUGUCGUCAGCUCGUGUCGUGAGAUGUUGGGUUAAGUCCCGCAACGAGCGCAACCCUUGAUCUUAGUUGCCAGCAUUUAGUUGGGCACUCUAAGGUGACUGCCGGUGACAAACCGGAGGAAGGUGGGGAUGACGUCAAAUCAUCAUGCCCCUUAUGACCUGGGCUACACACGUGCUANNAAUGGAUGGUCAAAGGGCUGCAAGACGCAGGUCAAGCCAAUCCCNUAAACCAUCUCAGUUCGGA